rnacentral:tRNA from 1 species
GUGCCUGUGGCUCAGAGGAGUAGGGCACUGGCUUCAUAUGCCAGAGGUGGUGGGUUCAAACCCAACCCUAGACA